rnacentral:snoRNA from 1 species
GGUCAAUGAUGACUAGUAAAAGGUCUGAGUGCACAAGAGAAUUGCACUCCCAUUACCCUUUCAGCUCCCAACAGUCUCUCUUUGUCCCAUCGUGCUAUAGCAGUGCUGUGAUUGGGGGAAAGGCUGCUGACAAUGAAGGAUAAGUUCAGUGCCUGUUAUCCACAGUGUAAGGAAGCAUGGCCCUGAAUGUCAUCCAACAGAACCAAUUAAGGAGUUUAGGGUGUUGGGGUGUCUUGAUUUGUGGUGUGUGUGAUCUCAAGUUUUCAAGCUGAGACC